AUUGUGGUUAACACAUUUAAAAACAGUGAUCUAGUGUAAUUUUUUCCAUAAAGCUACAAGUUGAGUUAAAGGAAAAAAGUGGAUUUUUUAGAACAACACAUAACAGUUCAUGUGAUUUAUCAUACAAAUUUAUUAAACUGUACAUCAGUAAACAACCUAUUUUGGAGGUAGGAUAUCAUGAAAGAGUGUUGUACUGGUGGGAAUUUUCCAAAAGUGGAUUGGCAACACUGG